CAAACAGAAGAGUUCAUUAGUUUUUCCAUUAAAAACACUUUCUUAAAAUACUUAUGUAUUUAUAUCAUUUGGAAAGUGACAUGAAAUAUUGCUAAAGAGUGAUGCAUACAGUGUUUGAGCAGUCUGUCUAGGAAUAGAACAACAACUGAAGUUGAUGGAAGAUACUGCAGAGUUUGGCAGGGAAAUAAUCCAACAGCAAAGCGGCUCUUUAAGCGCAUUUACCUAGAGGACUUACAGGGCCACAAAUUCAUGAGCACAUGUGAGCAGUAUACAAUGUACCUCAUACCAAAAAGGACCCGGAGGCAGUGACUGGUGUUCAAUAUUCUCAGAAGAAAAGGAAAAUGGCAGUGGAAGACUUGGACAAACAUUUUUAAAAACUAGCCUCUGUGUUAAGCCUGGCAGUCUGUGGCUGGUGACAUGUUUUAUUUUGGUUACUUCUUGUAUAAAAAAGACCAGUUAUUUAUUUUGUGAAUUGUA